ensembl:lncRNA novel transcript
GAAACGUUUGAGGGGUAUGUGUAUGUAUGUGUGUGUGUGUUUGUCCUGGGUUGAAUGUAAAAUUAUUUCUGACUGGGGACUAGGGUAAAAGAAAAUUUUGAAGCCAGGCGUGAGUCACUGCACCCAGCCAGGAUUCUAACAAUUUCAAAGGAUUUUUAUAUGUAAUUGUCAACAUGCAAAUUAUUAUGUUAAAUUCAAGUGUUAAGUCUACAUAUUAAUGUAGCCCAUUUAUUUACUCUUAGACUCUCUCCCUAGAAAUGUAUCGUUAGUGUUCAUUCAUCUGCUUGUUCUUUCUUUUAAUGACUUUUUUUGAGCAUCUAUUUUGUGCUGAGUGCUGUGCUUGUGCUUGAGAUAUUACAGUGAACAACA